rnacentral:lncRNA from 1 species
CUUCUUCCUAGACCUUGAACCUUAACAACAAUGGAGAAAACCUAGACUACAAAAAUAAAAAGCGUCGUUGUUCUCACUCGCCAGCCACGUCGACCACGCUUCACACCCUUCGUCUCUUUCACCAUAGCAAAAUCUAUACCCACCUGAACCACAGCGCCGUCGCCAAGCAACACCUUACAUCCACAACAUCUCCAUUCGCUUAUACUUCUGCACCACCCCAGCGAACACACCGGAAACCCGACGGACCAAACCAAGAAUCAGCCGUUCAACACCCAAAGACCCCAUCGAUCUUUUCCUUCUUCAGUCAUCGAGGCUGCUUCCUCUCGAACUCAAACACACACACACACUGAAGCAACAGAGAAGCAAAGGCAGUGAACAAAAAAAAAAGAAACUGAAAAAGUUGAACCCAUUUGUUCGGUCAGUCUUUCACCCGUCGAGGUUCGGUCGAGGUCGUAUGCGUCGUCAAGUUUUAAAACAAUCAGUAUCAUAUUCAUUAUAGAGGUCCGGUCAGAACUUUUCUUCUUUAUCUUUUCUCGUGUGAAUGUGUAUUUAUUUGCUAUCCUACCAUUAGCUGUUGUUAUGUGGACAAUUUGCUUUCUCUGCUUUAUAUUGAUUUGGGUAGUCUUUGGUUUCUUUAAUUUUUAAUUUGCAAAGUAUAAGAAAACUUUAUGCAAAUAUAAACAUGUGUGGAAGAACAAACUACUAAUUUUGCAUUGGUUUCCAGUAGUGUAAGUUUGGGAUUUUCUUUUUUUUAGUUAGUCUAUUAUUGUCGAUUGGUCCUAAAAUUAAAAAAACAUUAGUUUUUUGCAUUGGUUUCCAGUAGUGUAAGUUUGGGAUUUUCUUUUUAUUUAGUUAGUCUAUUAUUGUCGAUUGGUCCUAAAAUUAAAAAAAAUAGUUUAGUCAUGUCUAAUGUAAAUAUUUGAAUAGAACUGAAUUUUCUUCCUCUUGUAAGUUAGCAACAGCUUCGCCUUCUGGACUACCUUUUAGAAUUAGUUUUAGAUAGCUAUUAUAUGUUUGAGUUUCGGUAGGCCAGUAUCAUAUUUGUUCGUGUUUUCUUUUAGUUGUCAUUAUUCAAAGAAAGCUGGCUUGAGGUACUUGAUUUCAAUUGUGAAGCUUGUUGUCCCUUCGCAAACAUUUGCAUCGUCACAUUACACGUUGGAAUGUAACUGUUUGUUGGGACGACGGAUUUUUGUAUUAAAAUUAAAGGAUAUUUGAACUUAUUUGCCUUUAUCAUUUUCUUUGUUUUCUAAGAAUAUGCUUAGGCCGCCAACACUUGGGUAAGCAAGCUUUACAAUUUUGUUAGUUUAGAGGCGAGAGGUCAUUCCUUUAGUUGAAUAUAUCCGGGGAAUGCCCUGAAGAAUUGUGUAUAUUUUAUCCGAAAAUUCCCCGAGGUACUUGUAUUUGGAGAACGUAGCAACAUCAAUGGAGGCGUUGUAUAGGCUAGCAAGACUUAUUUCAUUUGGCUUUAUUUUUCUUUAUUUAGGUGGGGGACGACCUCGAGCAUUAUAUGUGUUUACUUUAUUUUU